AGUGAACGCUGGCGGUAGGCCUAACACAUGCAAGUCGAACGGCAGCACAGUAAGAGCUUGCUCUUACGGGUGGCGAGUGGCGGACGGGUGAGGAAUACAUCGGAAUCUACUUUUUCGUGGGGGAUAACGUAGGGAAACUUACGCUAAUACCUCAUACGACCAACGGGUGAAAGCAGGGGAUCUACGGACAUUGCGCGAAUGAAUGAGCCGAUGUCGGAUUAGCUAGUUGGCGGGGUAAAGGCCCACCAAGGCGACGAUCCGUAGCUGGUCUGAGAGGAUGAUCGGCCACACUGGAACUGGGAAACGGUCCAGACUCCUACGGGAGGAAGCAGAGGGGAAUAUUGGACAAUGGCCGAAGGCCUAACCCAGCCAUCCCGCGUGGGUGAAGAAGGCUUUCGGUUUGUAAACCCCUUUUGUUGGGAAAGAAAAGCGGCAGGUUAAUACCCCCCUGUUCUGACGGUACCCAACGAGAAAGCACCGGCUAACUUCGUG
rnacentral:rRNA from 1 species